GACGAACGCUGGCGGCGUGCUUAACACAUGCAAGUCGAACGGAAAGGCCCUGCUUUUGUGGGGUGCUCGAGUGGCGAACGGGUGAGUAACACGUGAGUAACCUGCCCUUGACUUUGGGAUAACUUCAGGAAACUGGGGCUAAUACCGGAUAGGAGCUCCUGCUGCAUGGUGGGGGUUGGAAAGUUUCGGCGGUUGGGGAUGGACUCGCGGCUUAUCAGCUUGUUGGUGGGGUAGUGGCUUACCAAGGCUUUGACGGGUAGCCGGCCUGAGAGGGUGACCGGCCACAUUGGGACUGAGAUACGGCCCAGACUCCUACGGGAGGCAGCAGUGGGGAAUAUCGCACAAUGGGCGGAAGCCUGAUGCAGCAACGCCGCGUGCGGGAUGACGGCCUUCGGGUUGUAAACCGCUUUCGCCUGUGACGAAGCGUGAGUGACGGUAAUGGGUAAAGAAGCACCGGCUAACUACG
rnacentral:rRNA from 1 species